AGGAGGAAAAGAAACCAACCGGGAUUGCCUUAGUAACGGCGAGUGAAGCGGCAAAAGCUCAAAUUUGAAAUCUGGUACCUUCGGUGCCCGAGUUGUAAUUUGGAGAGGGCAACUUUGGGGCCGUUCCUUGUCUAUGUUCCUUGGAACAGGACGUCAUAGAGGGUGAGAAUCCCGUGUGGCGAGGAGUGCGGUUCUUUGUARAGUGCCUUCGAAGAGUCGAGUUGUUUGGGAAUGCAGCUCUAAGUGGGUGGUAAAUUCCAUCUAAAGCUAAAUAUUGGCGAGAGACCGAUAGCGAACAAGUACAGUGAUGGAAAGAUGAAAAGAACUUUGAAAAGAGAGUGAAAAAGUACGUGAAAUUGUUGAAAGGGAAGGGCAUUUGAUCAGACAUGGUGUUUUGUGCCCUCUGCUCCUUGUGGGUAGGGGAAUCUCGCAUUUCACUGGGCCAGCAUCAGUUUUGGUGGCAGGAUAAAUCCAUAGGAAUGUAGCUUGCCUCGGUAAGUAUUAUAGCCUGUGGGAAUACUGCCAGCUGGGACUGAGGACUGCGACGUAAGUCAAGGAUGCUGGCAUAAGAUUGGAG
rnacentral:rRNA from 1 species